rnacentral:rRNA from 1 species
CGAUAAUCUGCCCUACAGUCAGUGAAAGCUACGCGAAAGUGUGGGUAAACACUGAUAGACAAGAACGGCUGCAAUUGCCACCUUGUCGAAACUCGUGCUGUAGGAUGAGUCGGCGGCUGAUUAGGUAGUUGGCGGGGUAACGGCCCACCAAGCCUUGGAUCAGUACGGGCCAUGAAAGUGGUAGCCCGGAGAGGGACACUGAGAUACUGGUCCCAGCCCUACGGGGUGCAGCAGGCGCGAAAACUCUCCAAUGUGCGAAAGCGUGAGAGGGGAAUUCGCAGUGCUUACGGUUUAGCCGUAGGCUUUUGCCAUGUGUAAAUAGCAUGGCGAAUAAGUGGUGGGUAAGACUGGUACCAGCCGCCGCGGUAACACCAGCGCCACGAGUGGCUAUCGCGAUUAUUGGGCCUAAAGCGUCCGUAGUCGGUUCUGUACAUCCUCUGUGAAAUCGCAAUGCUCAACAUUGCGGCAUGCGGGGGACACGGCAGAGCUUGAGACCGGGAGGCGUGUAGGGUAUUCCACGGGGACCGGUAAAAUGGUAUAAUCCGUGGAGGACCACCUGUGGCGAAGGCGCUACACGAGAACGGAUCUGACGAUGAGGGACGAAAGCCAGGGGAGCAAACCGGAUUAGAUACCCGAGUAGUCCUGGCCGUAAACGCUGUCAGCUAGGUGUUGCACCGACUUGAGUCGUUGUAGUAUCGGAGCGAAGGUAUUAAGCUGACCGCCUGGGAAGUACGGUCGCAAGACUGAAACUUUAAGGGAUUGGCGGGGGAGCACCACAAGGGGUGCGGCGUGCGGUUUAAUUUAACUCAACGCAGAGCAUCUCACUAGAGGCGACGGCAGGAAGAAGAUCAGUCUGAAGGGCUUAUCUGACGAGCC